ensembl:lncRNA
CUUGCAAGCAUCCAUUUUAUCAGCACAGCUGAAUAAACUGACUAUUUAAACUGGUUAUUUCUGCCAUAUCACCUCUUCCCACCUCUUUAGAAAAGUUUCUAAGACUUGGUAUGAAUUCCUGACUUGGCACAUUUGUAUUCCUGGGCAUUGCUUUAAUGAUGUAUGACAAUGAUACAUUAUCAUCAAGUCAAUCUUUUUAAUACUUUUUUUCUGAACGGGAUAUGACUGCAAGCAGCACAGAGUUCAACUAGAGUCAUCUAUAAAUUCUUCUUGGCGGUGUGCAGCACUGCAAAGAUGCUGUGUGGCAUACAAUAAAAUGUACCAAUCAAUAGUGGAAGCACAGCCGUUAUGACAUCAGCCACUUAAAGAAGGUCAUCCAUGCCUCCCCAGCUUGUUUAUGAUGGUAAAGUGGGAGCUUGCUUCUCAGUAUCUGCCUGAUUCCACUCUGCUUCCACACCUGGGCGACAGCUCUACCCACACUGUGGAGGAAUCCUGCUGCUUCUUGCAAGGCUAUCGAAGGCCAGCCAGCUGCUUCAGACAGGAAAUCAACUUGCUGCAUCUACGGUGGUUCCCAAACAAGAAGAAAUGUCAAAAUACAUAGUGAUCACAAACAGAUCUUUGCGGGUCACUCUGACGUUAGCAGGCUGCCCGCCAUUCCACAUGAGCUGCAUCUAAAACCAGAAGAGAUGAUUUCUCCAGUGAAGCAGACCUAGAAAUAGCAGAAGAGCCUGCAGAAUGCACUAGCGGAAUGAACUUUGUACAGUGGGGAAAAAAAGAAACAGUUAGAACUGUUACAGAGAAGUGUUAAUGCUUCAUUAAGCUCUGUAUGGCCUGCAAGCUCAACCACCUUACACGAAUCCACAUAGAAACUGCACUGUUAGAACUCAGGAAGCAGCAGUCAUUCCAUUACCUUCUCUGGAAGGUGCAUUGGGUCUACAGUCCACAGCAAUUAAUGAUACCAGUUAACUGGUGUUACAGUUACUGACAGAACAAGAGAAUUUACCCCUCUGAAUAUGACGCUUGAGGCAUAUUCACUUUUUAGUGAAAAUGAUGAGAGAGCACUGUGAGGCACCACUAUGAGUACCAAAGAGAGACUACAGACAAGCAAACAGAACAUUGCACAAUUUGUGCAGCUUAUUAUUGGGCAGAAAGUCUUCAGCAUCAGUUGCUGGAUUAACAUGCAAGUGUCUUGUCCCAGCAAUACAAAUGCUGCAUUAUAAAUACAAUUUUCAGACAGAAAAUACUCUAUAUUCUUUGAUUUUGAAGGCUAAUUUAUGUCGUUCUUUUUCCUUUUUUCCUAUGCAUGCUUUGCAAGCACACCUGGCAAUUGUAUUUUAAAACCUUUCUGGUUUCACACAAUAUUUUCCCAUUUGUGUUGCAAAUUUCUAAAAAGUCCUAAAAUUUAGUUUUGCUCUAUAUGAAUAUCAAAGAAUUUCUGGCAUUUUUUGUAGAAUAGGAGUUUGUUCAUCACUUUUUGGACAGUACUUUCCUCAUUUCAGUUGCUGGGUAGAUACCUGUGCACUUCUGGCUUCUUACCACCCAAAGUGGGUCAGUGCUAAAAGUGCAAGGCAGAUGUCAUCAGCUAACAACAGUUAUGUAAAAUUAUGCUUGAGAAAAGCAUGCGCGUAUGCUUAGAAAAGGACACAAUGCUGGUAUUCCGGACACCAGGAAAUAGUAGCACUUGGUGUUCUUUAAAUUUUUCAAAUGAUACCCGGUUCUGUAGUUCUUUGGGAUGAAAGGUACACUAGCAGUAAAUAUAGUAUCACAGGUUUGUAUUUUGUGCCCUUUCUCAUUAUCUCACCUGCUGGUUGUACUUUCUGCCUCUUCUUUCUGACAGCGAAUUGACCUCCAGUUGCCUCAGAGUGAAGUUAAAUGGGUGGGCAACAGCGGCUCUGCAGCUCAUAUGCUCUCUUCCAAACUUCAGUGAUGCUGCUGCUGAUACCUGAUCAAUAUCAAUGGAUGUAAAAGUAACAUGAGAAACUUCUCACAUACUGACAUUUACACGCAGCAAGAUUUUUCUGUAUCUUUUCCUCAAAUAAAGAAUGUGCUUAAUGAAGUAAUUUCUUAAAG